rnacentral:RNase_P_RNA from 1 species
GAGGGUCGGGCGGCCGCGGCUCCAGCGAUGGAGGCGAGGAAAGUCCGGGCUCCGCGGAACAACGGUGCCGGGUAACGCCCGGCGGGGGCGACCCCAGGGACAGUGCAACAGAGAGCAGACGACCCAAUCCUUCGGGACGAAGCCUUCGGGCAGGUCAAGGUGAAAGGGUGCGGCAAGAGCGCACCGCGGCCCUGGUAACAGGGACGGCACGGCAAACCCCACCGGGAGCAAAACCGAAUAGGGAUGGCAUGGGCCUUCAUGGUCCGGGGCGUGUUCCCGCCCGCCGUCCGGGUUGGUUGCUUGAGGCGGCGCGCAAGCGUCGUCCUAGACGAAUGGUCGCCCAUCCGGCCUUGUGGCCGGUGGACAGAACCCGGCUUACAGACCCUCUGG